rnacentral:tRNA from 1 species
GCGCUCGUAGCUCAGCUGGAUAGAGCAUCAGACUACGAAUCUGAGGGUCAGGAGUUCGAAUCUCUUCGGGCGCG